rnacentral:lncRNA from 1 species
AACUAAGUCCGUAAGCCCGAUAUUACUUACGCGCACUUCUAGGUGAUCAGCCUAUUGUACUCUAUGUUGAUCAAUACUAAAUCCAUUAAACGUAUGUACGUUUAAUCAUUUGGUAACUUCACGUGCCUGUCGUUUUACCGACAAAACAUUUGUUUAAAAUUCCAAUUUUCUUUUGAAAACCAUAUCAAGUAUGUGGCGACCCCAAAUCCGGGUACUUGCAACCCGAACUCGGUUCUCCACGAUACCAUUUCUUUAAGCUGAAUAAUACUAAAUAAUAAUACAUUCGAACUUAAUUUACAUACAUCAAAG